UAGCCGAGUGUAACCGGUACCGAGUGUAGCCGACAUUGGCCGCAUUUAGGCAAAGAGCCGAAUAUGACCGACUUUAGCCCAACCGGGCCGAAGUUCUGCCGAAGAGCCGGAAAAGCCGAAUUUAGACGAAAAGCCGAACCGAAACGAUUUUAGACCUAAGCCGAACCAAGCCUAAUUUAGCCGAGUUUAUUUAAACAGAACCGAACGACGCCGCAGCGCUCUGCCUGCACAGCGCCGGUGCAGACGGCAGGGGGCGGUGUAUAAAGGUGCUCAGAAAGCAUGCGUCCCUUAGAGUUCCACGGAAAGGUUCUCAGUGCGCUCUCUAUCAAGUGCUAUGAGUCUUGAUAAAUUGGAGAAGAGCCCAAGAGAAAUUUUUCAUCCCUUGAUAUAAAAGGAUUUAUUGGUUCUGGAAGAACAAGAGGGAAGUACAAGCCUAACUUCUUCUAGCUCACAG